UUAAGUGAAGAGACUUAAAUAAAAUUGAAAGACAAGAAGACCCUAUAGAGCUUUAUUUUAACUACAAGCUUAUUAUAGUAAAAUUCGGUUGGGGCGACCUAGGAAUAUUAAACACUCUAAAAUUUAUAAGAUUAAUACAUCUUUUUUUGAUCCAAUAUUUGAUCACUAGAUUAAGUUACCUUAGGGAUAACAAGCUAAUAAUUUUUUAGAGUUCUUAUCAACAAAACUGUUUGGCACCUCGAUGUUGGCUUAAGGAACCACCAUGACGCAGAAGUCAUAGAUGGGGGUUUGUUCAACCUGUAAAUCCUUACCUGAGCUGAGUUCAGACCAGCGUGAGCCAGGUUAGAUUCUAUCUCCAAU
rnacentral:ncRNA from 1 species